rnacentral:rRNA from 1 species
GACGAACGCUGGCGGCGUGCUUAACACAUGCAAGUCGAACGGAAAGGCCCUGCUUGCAGGGUACUCGAGUGGCGAACGGGUGAGUAACACGUGGGUGAUCUGCCCUGCACUUCGGGAUAAGCCUGCGAAACUGGGUCUAAUACCGGAUAGGAGCCAUCCUUAGUGUGAUGGUUGGAAAGUUUUUUCGGUGUGGGAUGAGCUCGCGGCCUAUCAGCUUGUUGGUGGGGUAUGGCCUAACAAAGGCGGCGACGGGAGGCUGGCCGGGAGGGGGGAAGGGCCCAAUUGGGCUGGGGAACGGCCCAGACCCCCACGGGGGGGAACAAGGGGGAAAAUUGCAAAAAGGGGGCGAGCCUGAUGCAGGGAAGCCGCGUGGGGGGUGACGGCCUUCGGGUUGUAAACUCGUUUCGCUAGGGACGAAGCUGUUUGUGACGGUACCUAGAUAAGAAGCACCGGCUAACUACGUG